rnacentral:rRNA from 1 species
UACGAAAGGGGCUAGCGUUGCUCGGAAUCACUGGGCGUAAAGCGCACGUAGGCGGAUCUUUUAAGUCAGGGGUGAAAUCCCAAGGCUCAACCUUGGAACUGCCUUUGAUACUGGGGAUCUCGAGUCCGGAAGAGGUGAGUGGAACUGCGAGUGUAGAGGUGAAAUUCGUAGAUAUUCGCAAGAACACCAGUGGCGAAGGCGGCUCACUGGUCCGGUACUGACGCUGAGGUGCGAAAGCGUGGGGAGCAAACAGG